AUCUAUAGCUGGUUUUAGAGGAUGAUCAGCAACACUGGGACUGAGACACGGCCCAGACUCCUACGGGAGGCAGCAGUGGGGAAUCUUGGACAAUGGGCGCAAGCCUGAUCCAGCCAUGCCGCGUGAGUGAUGAAGGCCUUAGGGUCGUAAAGCUCUUUCGCCAGAGAUGAUAAUGACAGUAUCUGGUAAAGAAACCCCGGCUAACUCCGUGCCAGCAGCCGCGGUAAUACGGAGGGGGUUAGCGUUGUUCGGAAUUACUGGGCGUAAAGCGCACGUAGGCGGAUCAGAAAGUUGGGGGUGAAAUCCCGGGGCUCAACCCCGGAACUGCCUCCAAAACUCCUGGUCUUGAGUUCGAGAGAGGUGAGUGGAAUUCCGAGUGUAGAGGUGAAAUUCGUA
rnacentral:rRNA from 1 species